rnacentral:rRNA from 1 species
GCUUACGGACAUACCACCCUGUCUGCGCCCGAUCUUGUCUGAUCUCAGAAGCUAAGCAGGGUCGGGCCUGGUUAGUGCUUGGAUGGGAGACCGCCUGGGAUGACCAGGUGCUUUAACGU